CGUAGGUGGCAAGCGUUGUCCGGAUUUAUUGGGUUUAAAGGGUGCGUAGGCGGUCUUCUAAGUCAGUUGUGAAAUACGGCAGCUUAACUGUCGAGGUGCAAUUGAUACUGGGAGACUUGAGUACUGAUGAGGUAGGCGGAAUGGACGGUGUAGCGGUGAAAUGCUUAGAUAUCGUCCAGAACACCGAUAGCGAAGGCAGCUUACUAAGGAGUAACUGACGCUGAGGCACGAAAGUGUGGGGAUCAAACAGGAUUAGAUACCCUGGUAGUCCACACUGUAAACGAUGAUUACUCGAUGUUGGCGAUACACAGCCAGCGUCUUAGCGAAAGCGAAUAAGUAAUCCACCUGGGGAUACGCCGGCAACGGUG
rnacentral:rRNA from 1 species